rnacentral:rRNA from 1 species
CCUACGGGAGGCAGCAGUAAGGAAUAUUGGACAAUGGGCGCAAGCCUGAUCCAGCCAUGCCGCGUGAAGGAUUAAGGUCCUCUGGAUUGUAAACUUCUUUUAUAGGGGACGAAAAAAGGGCAUUCUUGCUCACUUGACGGUACCCUAUGAAUAAGCACCGGCUAACUCCGUGCCAGCAGCCGCGGUAAUACGGAGGGUGCAAGCGUUAUCCGGAUUCACUGGGUUUAAAGGGUGCGUAGGCGGGCAGUUAAGUCAGUGGUGAAAUCUCCGAGCUCAACUCGGAAACUGCCAUUGAUACUAUCUGUCUUGAAUAUUGUGGAGGUAAGCGGGAAUAUGUCAUGUAGCGGUGAAAUGCUUAGAUAUGACAUAGAACACCUAUUGCGAAGGCAGCUUACUACGCAUAUAUUGACGCUGAGGCACGAAAGCGUGGGGAUCAAACAGGAUUAGAUACCCUGGUAGUCCACGCCCUAAACCGAUGGAUACUCGACAUACGCGAUACACUGUGUGUGUCUGNGNGAGAGAUAAGUAGUCCUUACCGUUAGUAGUUACGUUACGCGAGAGNGACGACGAAGAGAGUUAGACGNGNGAGNGCGACGACGACGACGACGAGGAGAG